rnacentral:rRNA from 1 species
AACGCGAAGAACCUUACCUGGGCUCGAACGGCUUAAGAACAUCUUUGGAAACAGAGACUUCCCGCAAGGGACUUGAGUCGAGGUGCUGCAUGGCUGUCGUCAGCUCGUGUCGUGAGAUGUUGGGUUAAGUCCCGCAACGAGCGCAACCCUUGUCCUGUGUUGCCACUCCCCUUAAAAGGAAGCACUCGCAGGAGACCGCCAGCGAUAAGUUGGAGGAAGGUGGGGAUGAUGUCAAGUCAUCAUGGCCUUUAUGUCCAGGGCUACACACGUGCUACAAUGGACGGUACAAAGCGCUGCAAACCCGCGAGGGGGAGCUAAUCGCAAAAAACCGUUCUCAGUUCGGAUCGCAGGCUGCAACUCGCCUGCGUGAAGCUGGAAUCGCUAGUAAUGCCGUAUCAGAACGAUGGCGUGAAUACGUUCCCGGGCCUUGUA